UACGUAGGGGGGCAAGCGUUGUCCGGAAUCAUUGGGCGUAAAGCGCGUGUAGGCGGCUCGAUAAGUCUGCUGUGAAAGUUCAGGGCUCAACCCUGAAAUGCCGGUGGAAACUGUCGAGCUAGAGUCCGGAAGAGGCGAGUGGAAUUCCUGGUGUAGCGGUGAAAUGCGCAGAUAUCAGGAGGAACACCAAUGGCGAAGGCAGCUCGCUGGGACGGUACUGACGCUGAGGAGCGAAAGCGUGGGGAGCGAACAGG
rnacentral:rRNA from 1 species